AUGGCAAAACAAUUCUGAAAUCCCAGCAGGGAGAAACCAUGGAGACUAACAACACAUACACGAAAUUCAGCUGGCUGACUGUGACUGGAGCGUCAAUGGAUAUAGAACACAAAUGCAUCGUCAAACACAAGAGUAAUAAAGGAAGGGUUGAUCAAGAAAUUCUUUUUCCUUCAAUAAACAAAGAUUUGGUGGCAGCUAUGGGAUCUGAACUGAACGUCCAGGGGACUUCAGAGACAAGGAGAAACACAGAGGUGGUUACAGUGAGCCCUUUGAGUUCAUGGUCUUUCUCACCAUUUUCAAGGGCUGUAGAGCUCACUGCUAUUAACUCCACAAAAGCUUCCCUGAAAGAUGAAGAUGACAACCUGCAGCUGCAGCUCACGAACACGUCUGCCUACUACACAUACGUCGUCCUCCUCCUCAAGAGCCUGGUCUACUCCGCCAUCAUGGCCGUCUGUCUGCUCGGGAGGGAAGAGUUCCUAACACAUGGUGGCACCAAGGCUCCGCUUGUCUCCAUUGGCUAUUAUCCCUAGAAGUGUCCGCUGGCGAUCUAGUGGGACUUUCUGAUAUUGGGUUACUGCAGUUCACAUAUGUCCUUUUCUAUUGUGUCAUUUUAAUCACUGGGCAAACAGAAACUUUCACUCUGCAGCAACAGCAAAUGCUGCCAUGACUCAGGGGUGGGGCCGGGGGACCAUCCACAGGGGCCUCAGCACCGCUCUCUCUGUAGUGUCCCCCAGCCCCUCAGCCACCCAGUCCCCAUGCCUCUGAGCACAGCCAGCACGCAGCUUCUAGUCACUUCCCCCGGAGGCUCUUUCACCAGAUGACUGCUGGGAAGCUUUUUAUUUUAUAUACCCAGAAGCUACCUGAAUUUUGUAUUGUUUUUCACAAAAGGCACAAUAAAAACAAACAAAAGUCUA